rnacentral:tRNA from 1 species
GGUCUGUUAGUCUAUCGGCUACGACGCUGCCCUGUCACGGCAGAGGGACGGGUUCAACUCCCGUACAGACCG